AGGGUUUGAUCCUGGCUCAGAACGAACGCUGGCGGCGUGCCUAACACAUGCAAGUCGAACGGUAACAGGGACUUCGGUCCGCUGACGAGUGGCGCACGGGUGAGUAACGCGUGGAUAUCUGCCUAUUAGUGGGGGACAACUACGGGAAACCGUAGCUAAUACCGCAUAAUCUCUACGGAGGAAAGCAGGGGACCUUUCGGGGCCUUGUGCUGAUAGAUGAGUCCGCGUCUGAUUAGCUAGUUGGUGGGGUAAAGGCCUACCAAGGCGAUGAUCAGUAACUGGUUUGAGAGGAUGAUCAGUCACACUGGAACUGAGACACGGUCCAGACUCCUACGGGAGGCAGCAGUGGGGAAUAUUGCACAAUGGGGGAAACCCUGAUGCAGCGACGCCGCGUGCGGGAAGAAGGCCUUCGGGUUGUAAACCGCUUUCAAUUGGGAAGAAGAGAUGAGUACUAAUAUUGCUCUGAUUUGACGGUACCUUUAGAAGAAGCACCGGCUAAUUUCGUGCCAGCAGCCGCGGUAAUACGAAAGGUGCAAGCGUUGUUCGGAUUUACUGGGCGUUAAGCGAGUGUAGGUGGUUUGUUAAGUCUGAUGUGAAAUCCCGGGGCUCAACCCCGGAACUGCAUUCGAUACUGGUAGACUAGAGUUUGGGAGGGGUAAGCGGAAUUCCGUGUGUAGCAGUGAAAUGCGUAGAUAUACGGAGGAACACCUGAGGCGAAGGCGGCUUACUGGACCAAUACUGACACUGAGGAUCGAAAGGGUGGGUAGCAAACAGGAUUAGAUACCCUGGUAGUCCACGCCCUAAACGAUGUCAACUAGCCGUUGCGGGUAUCGACCCCUGCAGUGGCGAAGCUAACGCGAUAAGUUGACCGCCUGGGGAGUACGGUCGCAAGAUUAAAACUCAAAGGAAUUGACGGGGG
rnacentral:rRNA from 2 species